rnacentral:rRNA from 1 species
UUAAUUGCGAUAACGAACGAACGUAACCCUUAACCUGACUAAAUAGUUAUGCCAACUUUUGUUGGUAGACAACUUCUUAGAGGGACUGUCGACGAUUAGUCGACGGAAGUUUGAGGCAAUAACAGGCCUGUGAUGCCCUUAGAUGUCCUGGGCCGCACGCGCGCUACACUGAUGAAGUCAGCGAGUCUAUAACCUUGGCCGGAAGGUCUGGGUAAUCUUUUGAAACUUCAUCGUGCUGGGGAUAGAGCAUUGCAAUG